rnacentral:lncRNA from 1 species
GGAGAACUGAAACGAGAGCUUGUUGUAAGACGUCAUCUGUGGGACGCCGGUGAGCCGCAGCCCGUUCCAUGGCCCGGCGCGCCACUCCUGAUGCGUCCCUGACCAUUCAAAGAUCUGGGGAUCGCCGCGCAGAUCGAUGCCGAAGGUGUACUCGCCCGGCGCCGGGUCGCUGGCGUUCGUCCACGACGUGAGCUGGCGGUUGAACCCGGUCGUCAGAUUCCACCCGAGCUUCAUACCCGGCAGGAGCGAGUCGGUCGGGUAGUCGAAGCUCUGCCACGCAAAGCUGUUCGGAUCACCAGCAUUAGCAUCCGCCUCCCUGACGACAAAGUUCCCAUCGUCGAGGAGCUGCGCCACCGGGUUUGCAAGAGCGAGCGACGGAGAGGACCAGACGACGGUCGAGUUCUCGCCGGUGAUGCGGAGCGUUCGGUUGGCCGCCACGGAUAGGCUUCCAUGGCUGCCGGUGACAGGACGCUGGCGAUUGGCGACCCACACCACCGUUUGGACUGAGAUCUUGUGGUACCAUAUCCCGAUAUAGCGGUUGUCAGAACCGUUGGGGCUAAAGAAGCCCAACGCGAAGCUGCCGUCCUUCGAGAUCAAGGGUUGCCCGCCGUCAGCGUGGGGGUGGUCAAGAGUCAAGCGGUCUGCUCCAUUGGAGGGGGAGGAGAGAGUGGUGAGGAGGUAGAGAAGGAAGGAGGCCCCAGAGAGCCUCCUCAUGGUCAAUUGAUUAUUCCUAGUGGUCGAAUCUCAAAAGCAAGUCGAACACUGUACAUUUAUUUGAUUAUUCCUAGUGGUCGAAUCUCAACCAACCCUCGUAAGGUUGGUUGUCACUCUCAAUAACCGACUGUACUAGAUUUGAAACUUCCAAACCUAUAAAUCGGGUAUCAAAGAGUGGAGUACUCAUACUGGAUAUCCUUGUAUUGAAUCUUAGAUUUUGAUGAUAAAACCAAUUGAUAGAGUUUAUGAUUUGAUCUGUGUUUUGAGUUACACAGGAAGCUUCGAUCAGGGAGAGACAAUUAAAGCAGGAAGAAUCAUGUUGGGCCGGAGAAAAACAUGUCAGAAGAUUGAACGUCGUGUCGAAGGAUCGGUCGAUAUAUCGACAGAAGGCUUCGAACCAUGAGUUCGGGCAUCGGGCCAAGAAGAAUGGAUAUUACGCCAAGGAAAUCGAAAUUGCAGAGGUCAACUAGCCGAUUGGGCAAUAGACCGCAAGAGAGGACGAUGCGCCGAAGAAUCAGACGAAGCGUCGAUGAACCAAUGACAUGCGGACAAUAUUUGAUUAGCUUAGUAAUAAUUGUCUAGAUCGAAGUGAGUUUUAAGUGUGCAGGAUUAACUACGAUAGCAAGGCAUAAAGAAAAAUGAAAUCCCAGAGUCAAGAACGCGAUUUCGUUGGGAGUUCGAGUGUUCGUCGAAAGUCUGGACGUUCGUCGGAAGUUUUGCUGAAAUUGAUCGAGAAGUCCAGGAGCUUGCCAAAGAAGCUCAUCGCAACUCGCAAAGAAGAUCAUCGUGAAGUCCAGGAGUUCGAGAGCUCGCACUCUCAACUUUUUGUUUUGUUGUUCAACUCAUUGGAGUUUAAAUUUUGUUUAUAUAAAUAGCCAUCAGGUUUCUUGAAUACAAUUUAGAAGGACACCUCACAUACAUGCAUACACCUUACGCCUGAAUAGAAGCCAUGAUCACAUGAAACUUCAUACAAGUAUUAGCAAGGAAAAGAUGUGACUAAUAUAUUCAUAUUUUCUUCCCUCUGAAACAAAGUAUUUGGAGUUCUUACGGUACCCAAGUUUAUAAACAAGUCAUGUCUGGUAUGACUUUUUCAGAUAAAGCUAGUCCUAGUAUAUUCUAGGUUUCGUUGGCCCUGUAAUCUCCUUAUUCUUCUUAAUUAUCUUCUCUUCCUCGAUCUUUUCUUGCAUUCAUUUGUAUCCUAAUUCUUCUUUAUUGUCUUCUCUUCAUCAAGUCUUUUCUCACACUCAUUUGUGUAUCCUAAUUUCUGAUGAUCUUCUUAAUCUCUAUAAGGAAAACCAAAUCAGAACAAAGAAAUUACAAACUAAGAGAUUGAAAAAACAACAAGAGGCUGGAAAUCAGAAUCCGGCUGGCUGCCCAGAUGUAAAACAAUGUCAUUUUAUGCUUAAUGCAUGUUAGCCAAUGCGAUUGUAAUAACUUAGCAACUAGAAUCUGAUAAGAAAUAAGAAUCUCAUGUAACCUUGGACGCUUACCCCAGCAGUUGGAAGACAAAGGCCUACAGAGAGAACAGGAAAUAUAUUUGCAAGUGGUUGGACUGUUGUUGAACAUGAACUAUACACCAAAAUCAAAUUCUUCAUGUGGUGACAAGCAAGAAAUUUAGGGCCUCACUAAACCUUGGCAUCCAUGAUAUCCUCUAAGAUACCACCAAUAUAUGUUCAACAUAUACAUAUGAUCAAAUGUAUCAUAUAGGUGUUUUUACUGCAUGAUAAGCUAUCGAAAAACUCCAAUUGAUACCUUGAGACAAGAAGGGCUACGUAAGGGAGAAUCGAAGGAAAGAUUUGGAGCGAAACAUAUCCCCCAACAAGAACCACAGCAAGGCCUUUGCACGAUCAGGUGAAUCCUGUAUAAAAGCUGCUGCUCUGCAUUUAGAAAAUAUAGCAUAUAUAGAUUUGUGAUAUCUCAAAAUGUUAAAUGGAUGUGCAAAAGGCAGUCUUCAAUAACGGAGAACAUUUCGAUGCCAAUAUUUACAUCGUCUAGAAUAUUGAGAUAUUUGUUUCAUUAUCAUUUUGUACUUGCAUCAAUUAGUCGCACCAAUUAGUCUAACAGCUCUUGCAGGAUUCGAUUCUACAUCAUUUCGUUGUUAUGUUUAUUUGGGGCAUUCAUCAUCGACCUUCAAACAUCGUGACCGACACGUUGUUGAUGGACAACGAGUCCUGCUUGCUCCUCGAGGAAUCGGGUUCGAGCGGCCCUCUCAUGGCAACAAAGCCCGGUUGCCUCGGCUGCGGCAGCAGCGCGCUGUCGCUUCCCAACAUGAACAGCACCGACGACAUCGUCGGUCGGUCCUCCGGUCGCUCCUGAACGCACAGAAGGCCUACCUUCAUGCACCUCAAGACUUCCGCCUUGGGGUACGAGUCGCCGAUGGCUUCGUCGACCAAGUCGAGGCCUUUACCUUCUCUCCAUAGGCUCCACGUCUGAAGGCAAUCACUGUUAGUGGCACAGCGAGGGAGGAAGACGACGAUGAGUUCUUAUACUUACGUAUCCCAGAAGAUUGAGGCUGCGUGACGAGUCAUAGAUUCCUCUGUUCUUUUUGCCGCUGAUGAUCUCAAGUAUCAACACGCCGAAACUGAACACAUCAGAUUUCACGGAGAAGAUUCCAUCCAUGGCGUAUUCGGGAGACAUGUAUCCGCUGCAGUAAUCGUAAGAGUAAGAAGCGUCUUUGAUUCUGCUGGUCACGAUGCACAUGUAUUAUGUGUUCUUGAAGUCUUACUAUGUUCCGACGACUCUCUUGGUGUUUACUUCCGAUUCGUCCCCUCCAAAUAUCCUUGCCAUGCCGAAGUCAGAUAUCUUAGGGUUCAUGUGCAUGUCGAGAAGAAUGUUGCCAGCUUUCAGAUCCCUGUGGAUGAUCCUCAAUCUGGAAUCCUGAUGGAGGUACAGAAGACCUCGAGCAAUCCCAACUAUGAUGCUGUAACGCGUUGGCCAGUUCAGCAACCAACCCUUGGCUUUAUCUGAGCAAAGAUUCUCAUGAUGAGUGAUGAAUGGAGAUGCAAAAUGCCAUGAGAAGGUGAAAGGAUGAACUGAUCACCAAAUAGGAAGGAGUCCAAGCUUCCGUUGGGCAUGUACUCGUAGAUCAACAUCCUUUCUUCUCCUUCAAUGCAGCAACCAAGAAGGCGAACAAGGUUACGGUGCUGCAGCUUGGCGAUCAGCACCACCUCGUUCUUGAACUCAUCGAUGCCCUGCACCGAUGUCUUGGACAGCCUCUUCACAGCUAUCUCUUGCUCGUCCUCCAGCUUACCCUGCGAGCUUCUGGUUGAGAGCAGCCAAAUUGGUUAAACUGUAAACCGCGAGACUCGGUCGAUUCCCUACCUUGUACACGGGACCAAAUCCCCCCUCGCCGAGCUUGCUUUCUAUGGAGAAGUUGCCUGUGGCGUCGGCGACCGUUCCCAGAUCGAACAAUGGGAGGUCCAAGUCGUUCGCUUCUGUUCCUUCAUCGUUGUGUCGCUCUGUCAAGGAGAUGGCCAUGCCUGACAUACCUGCUGAGUGAUAACAAGAGGUGAUGAAGGAUUCCUCUCUAAGUGGUAGUAACAAGGUAAAGAAGAAGAAAUGUUGAUGGUACUUCUAUUCUUCCUUCUCCAAACACAGCAACCGACGAAAGCUAGGAUUGAGAUGAAGAGAGCAAGGAUCACACUGAUCACGGUUAAAUGGAUCCGGUGAUGACUUGAUUCUGAGUCUGAAAUAUCAACAUGAUCAUAUGAAAACAAGAACAAAAUUAUCUGUUCUCGUCAGAAAAAAACCUUCGAGAAACUUGCAGUAUAUAUUAGCAUGAUAUUUUUAGUACCACCACCUUCAGAGAUGUCAAAUACUGCUUGUACUAUUUUUCUUAUGAGCUAAAUAUCACAAAUGGCAACGAAGAAAAAAGGUAUGCAUACCUAAACUGAGCGAGACCGAGCUGUACAUACCUAGAUCGGCGGCCGCUGCCCUGACAUAGAGAUCCUGUCCUCCACUGCCGUACACCCUCAGAUCUGUGAGAUUAGUACUCCAUAGUAUGCACCCGCUGCCGCUCCCGCUGAUGUUGGCUUGAGCGUAGGCCGUGCACGAGCAAUUCUUCAAACACUUAGCUCUGCACUCGUCCAGGGUCGUGCCGACCCAUUCCACCGUCGAGUUCGACGUGUCCGGUAGCUUCGCGCCGCUCACUAAGACGAACCCAUCGGUCCCGUUCCGGCAGUCCACCUCGGUCUUCCUCACGCACCCGUCGGAGCCGUACCUGAAUUCCCAGUUGGUCGGAUUCUUCGGCCGGAACCCCUGCGGGCAGCCGCACAGCGGCGCCCGGCUGGUGUCGCAGACGGCGUUGGGGCCACACGGGAAGAUGUUGUCGCAUGCGUCCAUUGGGGCGUACCAGAAGGUGUUCCAGAACUUGCUGUCGUCGACCCACACAAGCCUCUGAAGGGUGCCGGACUGGUUCACGACCAGCCUGGAGACGAAGGAAGGGUCGAUCAUGUAGAAGACGUAGACGACCUGGGUGGCGUCGACGAAGAACUGCAACGAGAACAUGUUAUAGGACGCCAUCUGUGGGACGCCGGUGAACCGCAGCCCAUUCCAUGGGCCACCGCGCCACACCUGACGCGUCUCUGACCAUUCAAAGAUCUGGGGAUCGCCGCGCAGAUCGAUGCCGAAGGUGUACUCGCCCGGCGCCGGGUCGAUGGCGCUCGCCCACGAUGUGAGCGUACGGUUGAACCUGGUCGUCAGAUUCCACCCGAGCUUCAUGCCCGGCAGGAGCGUGUCGGUCGGGUAGUCGAAGCUCUGCCACGCAAAGCUGUUGGGAUCACUAGGAUUACCAUCCGCCUCCCUGACGACAAAGUUCCCAUCGUCGAGGAGUUGCGCCACCGGGUCCGAAAGAGCGAGCGACGGCGAGGACCAGACGACGGUCGAGUUCUCUCCGGUGAUGACGAGCGUUCCGU